AGAAAAGAAUCAUUGAUUUGAAUGCGUCUUCAUGGCUUCAUAGUGAGGAAUUCUUUUAGUUCACAUGUCAUUGAGUUGACAUCUAACAGCCUCAUUGUUCAAGCCACUACUCCUGCAAAAUUUUUCCUUUUUCUACCUAUUCUAAUUACUACUUCAAAUUCCAGAUCUUUCUUUGAGCACAGUUUUGGAGCAUCUCAUUUUCCAUCAAGAUACUUUAUUCUAUCAUUGAUGCAAUCAAUAACGUAUCAUUGAUGAUCUCAAAUAAUAUUAAUUUAUCUUUGCUCAUUCUACUGCAUAUUGAUGGAGACAUCUGAGUAUGGAA
rnacentral:misc_RNA from 1 species